AUUCGAAGGGCACUUUCUCAUCAUUUCUUUAUACCUCUCCCAAGUUUCAUAAAGGGAUUCUCCAUCUUUUUGUAUGAAGGUAUGGAUAUCAUGUCUCAGCUU